rnacentral:misc_RNA from 1 species
UGUGGGAGCUGGCUUGCCUGCGAUGCAGACGACUCGGUCUGUCUAUAAAACCGAGUCGAUGCUAUCGCAGGCAAGCCAGCUCCCACA